rnacentral:tRNA from 1 species
ACCUGGCUGGCUCCGUGGUAGAGCAUCUGAUUCUUGAUCUCCAGGUUGUGGGUUUGAGUCCCAUGCUGGGUG